GAUGAACGCUAGCGGUGCGCCUAACACAUGCAAGUCGAACGGCAGCACGGGAGCAAUCCUGGUGGCGAGUGGCGAACGGGUGAGUAAAGUAUCGGAACGUGCCCAGUCGUGGGGGAUAACGUAGCGAAAGUUACGCUAAUACCGCAUACGAUCUAUGGAUGAAAGCGGGGGAUCGCAAGACCUCGCGCGAUUGGCGCGGCCGAUAUCAGAUUAGGUAGUUGGUGGGGUAAAGGCUCACCAAGCCGACGACCUGUAGCUGGUCUGAGAGGACGACCAGCCCCACUGGGACUGGGACACGGCCCAGACGCCUACGGGAGGCAGCGGUGGGGAAUUUUGGACAAUGGGCGAAAGCCUGAUCCAGCCAUGCCGCGUGCAGGAUGAAGGCCUUCGGGUUGUAAACUGCUUUGUACGGAACGAAAAGGUUUGGCCUAAUAAGCUGAGCUCAUGACGGUACCGUAAGAAUAAGCACCGGCUAACUACGUGCCAGCCGCCGCAGUAA
rnacentral:rRNA from 1 species